CCAAAGCAACAACAACAAACAACAAACAACAAAGUCAAAUCUUCUCAAGCUUAUCAGCUUUCACAAUCGGAUUCGC
rnacentral:sRNA from 1 species